rnacentral:rRNA from 1 species
CCUGGGGUGCCCCGCGAGGGGAGCCCUAGCACAGGUGCUGCAUGGCCGUCGUCAGCUCGUGCCGUGAGGUGUUGGGUUAAGUCCCGCAACGAGCGCAACCCCGCCGUUAGUUGCCAGCGGUUCGGCCGGGCACUCUAACGGGACUGCCCGCGAAAGCGGGAGGAAGGAGGGGACGACGUCUGGUCAGCAUGGCCCUUACGGCCUGGGCGACACACGUGCUACAAUGCCCACUACAAAGCGAUGCCACCCGGCAACGGGGAGCUAAUCGCAAAAAGGUGGGCCCAGUUCGGAUUGGGGUCUGCAACCCGACCCCAUGAAGCCGGAAUCGCUAGUAAUCGCGGAUCAGCCAUGCCGCGGUGAAUACGUUCCCGGGCCUU